AGUGAACGCUGGCGGUAGGCCUAACACAUGCAAGUCGAACGGCAGCACAGUAAGAGCUUGCUCUUACGGGUGGCGAGUGGCGGACGGGUGAGGAAUACAUCGGAAUCUACUUUUUCGUGGGGGAUAACGUAGGGAAACUUACGCUAAUACCGCAUACGACCUACGGGUGAAAGCAGGGGAUCUUCGGACCUUGCGCGAUUGAAUGAGCCGAUGUCGGAUUAGCUAGUUGGCGGGGUAAAGGCCCACCAAGGCGGCGAUCCGUAGCUGGUCUGAGAGGAUGAUCAGCCACACUGGAACUGAGACACGGUCCAGACUCCUACGGGAGGCAGCAGUGGCGAAUAUUGGACAAUGGGCGCAAGCCUGAUCCAGCCAUACCGCGUGGGUGAAGAAGGCCUUCGGGUUGUAAAGCCCUUUUGUUGGGAAAGAAAAGCAGCAGGUUAAUACCCCGCUGUUCUGACGGUACCCAAAGAAUAAGCACCGGCUAACUUCGUG
rnacentral:rRNA from 1 species